rnacentral:lncRNA from 1 species
CCUGAGGAUAGCUCAGAGCCCAGCAAGGAGGGCUGGGAUUCACACUGAGCACGUGUGUCUCCCUCGGCUUGGGCUAUUUUCUAGGAUGGACUACCUGAAAUUCAUCACGUCCACAUCCAUAUGUGUGAAACUGCAUGAGGAGGACAUGGAAUGAUGCCACAUAUCUUGCUACAAAUAUGUAUAAACAGUUGCUAACCCACAGACUCCAAAAGCAAUAUCACCUGCGGAAGAGGAUUUCAUCCACAAGCCUGGGACACACAUCAACCUGAAUGGGCAGUCCAGCCCUAAGCUGCUAACCAGUGAGGGAGACAUCUGCCCACUUAAAAACUUCUGUCGCAGGUAAGGAGCACCUAUGAGU